GUCUCGGUAAACAACAGGUGCGAGCUCGAGGUUGGGGGACUUCCACUCCGAGGGGGUAGCGGCCGUGCCCCCUGCAUAGGGACAUAUUAUCUGUCGGAUUCAGCUGUCUAUGCCACCUCGACCAGCGGACUAGGUACUACAGAGAGUACAUACUAGUAGCUAUAAGAAGACAUGGAUAUACGGAUACCAGUGAUUGCGGCAUUUACACUCCUUAUCAGCCUCUCUGAAGCAGCUUCGUUGGUCCCCACGAAAACCGGAUAUGAGUGCGAUGAUACAUCAGUAUAUGGCACUUGCGCAGAAAUAGUUGCAAAACAUUCCCUGCAAGACAUUUUAACGAAUAUGUGCAGUUUUUAUCUGCGAUGGAGAGAGUGUGUUAUAGAAUACGUAUCCGUGUGUGGGACACAUGACGGCAUAGUCCCUACAGGAUGGCUAGAUGACCGGUGCGCAGAUCAAAAGAACCAAGAAGUAAAAAGAGUGUAACCCGUUCAACAGAUUGAUAUUUUGUCAAAGCUUUCUGAAUUUUGGUGUAAUAAUUAUUUAUGGAUAUGAGCAUUUGGUAAUAAAAUGUCAUGUGUUGUUGCAGAGA